GACGAACGCUGGCGGCGUGCCUAAUACAUGCAAGUAGAACGCAGUUGCGAACGGGUGAGUAACGCGUAGGUAACUGCCUCAUAGCGGGGGAUAACUAUUGGAAACGAUAGCUAAUACCGCAUACUGUGAGAUGGACCUGAGUUGUAUUAGGUAGGUGGUGAGGUAAAGGCCCACCAAGGCGACGAUCCAUAGCCGGCCUGUGAGGGAGGUCGGGCACAAUGGGGACUGGAACCGGGCCAGACUUCCACCGGAGGGAGCAGGUGGGAAUUUUUGGACAUGGACGGAAGUCUGACCGAACAACGCCGCGUUAGUGAAGAAGGUCUUCGGAGCGUAAAGCUCUGUUGUGCGAGAAGCGGUAACUACCCAGAAAGCGACGGCUAACUACGUGCCAGCAGCCGCGGUAAUAC
rnacentral:rRNA from 1 species